rnacentral:rRNA from 1 species
UGAGGAAUAUUGGUCAAUGGGCGAGAGCCUGAACCAGCCAAGUAGCGUGCAGGAUGACGGCCCUAUGGGUUGUAAACUGCUUUUAUAUGGGAAUAAAGUGAGGGACGUGUCCCUUAUUGCAUGUACCAUACGAAUAAGGACCGGCUAAUUCCGUGCCAGCAGCCGCGGUAAUACGGAAGGUCCAGGCGUUAUCCGGAUUUAUUGGGUUUAAAGGGAGCGUAGGCUGUUUGUUAAGCGUGUUGUGUAAUGUAAGAGCUCAACUUUUAGAUUGCAGCGCGAACUGGCAGACUUGAGUGCGCACAACGUAGGCGGAAUUCAUGGUGUAGCGGUGAAAUGCUUAGAUAUCAUGACGAACUCCGAUUGCGAAGGCAGCUUACGGGAGCGCAACUGACGCUAAAGCUCGAAGGUGCGGGUAUCGAACAGG